rnacentral:sRNA from 1 species
AGGAGAAUGAGGAGGAA